GGCGUUAAGUUGCAGGGUAUAGACCCGAAACCCGGUGAUCUAGCCAUGGGCAGGUUGAAGGUUGGGUAACACUAACUGGAGGACCGAACCGACUAAUGUUGAAAAAUUAGCGGAUGACCUGUGGCUGGGGGUGAAAGGCCAAUCAAACCGGGAGAUAGCUGGUUCUCCCCGAAAGCUAUUUAGGUAGCGCCUCGUGAAUUCAUCUCCGGGGGUAGAGCACUGUUUCGGCUAGGGGGCCAUCCCGGCUUACCAACCCGAUGCAAACUGCGAAUACCGGAGAAUGUUAUCACGGGAGACACACGGCGGGUGCUAACGUCCGUCGUGAAGAGGGAAACAACCCAGACCGCCAGCUAAGGUCCCAAAGUCAUGGUUAAGUGGGAAACGAUGUGGGAAGGCCCAGACAGCCAGGAUGUUGGCUUAGAAGCAGCCAUCAUUUAAAGAAAGCGUAAUAGCUCACUGGUCGAGUCGGCCUGCGCGGAAGAUGUAACG
rnacentral:rRNA from 1 species